UUUCUAGUCUGUGUUGUUGACUGUUGUCCUGGUUUUAUUUAUGAGAGUUAAUUUUCCUCCCAGCAGCUGGUAGGAUGCUAUG